rnacentral:rRNA from 1 species
AGUGAACGCUGGCGGUAGGCCUAACACAUGCAAGUCGAACGGCAGCACAGUAAGAGCUUGCUCUUACGGGUGGCGAGUGGCAGACGGGUGAGGAAUACAUCGGAAUCUACUUUUUCGUGGGGGAUAACGUAGGGAAACUUACGCUAAUACCGCAUACGACCUACGGGUGAAAGCAGGGGAUCUUCGGACCUUGCGCGAUUGAAUGAGCCGAUGUCGGAUUAGCUAGUUGGCGGGGUAAAGGCCCACCAAGGCGACGAUCCGUAGCUGGUCUGAGAGGAUGAUCAGCCACACUGGAACUGAGACACGGUCCAGACUCCUACGGGAGGCAGCAGUGGGGAAUAUUGGACAAUGGGCGCAAGCCUGAUCCAGCCAUACCGCGUGGGUGAAGAAGGCCUUCGGGUUGUAAAGCCCUUUUGUUGGGAAAGAAAAGCAGCAGGUUAAUACCCCGCUGUUCCGACGGUACCCAAAGAAUAAGCACCGGCUAACUUCGUG